GAGUUUGUCUCUUCCGGCCAUUAUAGCAGUCAGUACGGCUCGCCACGAGUCUAGAAAUUUGUGUUGAAUCAUUAAAAAAAAUAAAGUUGAACAACCUGAAUUGCAAUAUUUUAAAGUUUAUAUUGAAAGUAUAUUAGUGUAUCCCUGCCAAAUAGCUAUUUAAAAUUAGAAAUGGCUGAUUCCAAGAAUAACGAUGUUGAGAUGAACGGUGAGGAUUUCUCCAAAGACGUCACUACAAGUGAAAAUGAGAACGGUACCGGCACCAAUGGUACAAAUGGAAACGCUGAUGGUCAGUCAAACGCACGGGAUGACGACAGGUAAUGAGUGAUGAGCAUAAACAAGCCAAUUGUAGCUACGCUUAUGGAAAUCUCCGCAGAUCAACUACAACUCACUAUCACUUCAUUAAUAACAGUACCAGCAGGUAGCUUAGCAACGGCUUCAGCAUGUGAUCACUAAAAGGGUCAAUGAUGGUGAUUUUAAAUGGAAUUGUACAAUACCUUGAUAUAUUUAUACGCGCAAUAGAAAGUGAGUCCUUCAAGUAUGAUGGACACCAAAUGCCUAAGACGACAUCGAAUUGCAUUGCCCAGCAGCUAACAUCGUUAACUGGUCACUGGAUCCCUCACAUCAAACAUGGCGUUGAGACACCAUUCACGAGAAACUUGUCGAUGAAAACUGUUUGUUGGCGGUCUGAGUUGGGAGACUUCUGAGAAGGAGUUGCGCGAACAUUUUGGCAAAUAUGGAGAAAUUGAAAGCAUAAAUGUAAAAACAGAUCCACAGACAGGCCGUUCACGUGGCUUCGCUUUUAUUGUUUUCACUAGCACUGAAGCUAUUGACAAGGUUCACGCCGCUGGUGAACACAUUAUUAACAACAAGAAAGUCGACCCCAAGAAGGCCAAGGCACGUCAUGGAAAAAUUUUUGUCGGUGGUCUUACAAAUGAAAUUAGUGACGAUGAGAUCAAAACAUAUUUCAGCCAAUUUGGCAAUAUUGUCGAUGUUGAGUUGCCAUUUGAUAAGCAAAAGUCACAGCGUAAGGGAUUCUGUUUCAUUACAUUUGAUUCUGAACAAGUGGUAAAUGAGUUGCUGAAAACACCUAAACAAAAAAUAUCCGGCAAGGAAGUUGAUGUUAAACGUGCAACACCGAAGCCAGAAAACCAAAUGAUGGCUAUGCGUGGAGCCCGUGGUGGCAUUCGUGGCGGACGUGGAGGUUUCGGACGUGGUGGAUAUCCACAAUGGCCAGGUCAAGGCGGCUAUGCUCCAUAUGGCGGUUAUGCAGGUGGUUAUGAUCCAGGCUAUGGAGACUAUUACAGCGGGGGCUAUUAUAAUGGCUAUGACUAUGGAUACGGUGCCGGCGGUUAUCCUUCGGGAAAGCAAAGAGGGACGGGACGCCAACCCAGACACCAACCCUACUAAUCAUAUUUGUUGCAAUAAGUUGAUAAUAAUAAACAAGCGCUGGUAUACACAAAAAUCACACACUACAUGAACUUAAUUCUUUGAUUAAGUUUUUACUGAUCGCUUGGAAAUUAACUAUAUAAACGAAUUAUAUGAUUUCUUCUGUGUUAUAUUUAACACGUCGCAUGCACACACAAACGAGAAAUUUGCCACCUGAAAUAAACACUACUACAGAAAUAUACUCAGAGAAGCAGUGGUGACAACAACACCCCAUUCCAAAAAGUUUAUCAUCAAUCAUAUGAAAAAAAUCUCAUUGUUAUCGGCACGGUUAAAACAAUCAAUUUAAGUUCGUAUGUGUGUCCGAAGAACAACAAAUGAAAAAUACACCGGCCUUACUUUUUUAUCCAGAAGUGCAAGCAAAAAAGUCUUAAUUCAGCGUUGCAUUCAUUGCAGUGUCAACUUAUCAACAAUUCAGCAAUCAAUAGUUUAUUAGCAGUACUUUGCAGUAGUUUUAGAUCAUAUAUAUUACACUUAAUCUUAUGUUACCUAAUAUACUUACUUACUUUAAAAUGGUAAUUUUUAUGCUCUAAGUAGUAGUUGUGGUAUGUUAUCAGUUAGCAAUUUGUAAUUAUCAACUCAGCCCCAUUUGAAAAUGCUACUUUCCUUACCCGCAUCCUGUCCACAAUACGCCUCAAUACACGUGUAUACAUGCAAUAUGUAUGUGCGUGUAUGAGAUGUUUGUGUGCAAAUUUCAUUUACAUCAAAUUGUCGCUCAAUUCGUAAUAAAGCUGUCAUGCGUUUAUCUUUUUGCUAGUAUACAUAACGUGCGUUAUGUACUAUUUUUUAUACUUAUCUAUACUUACUACUAAUGUCUAAAAAUAAGCGUAUAACAGAAAGAAUGGCAAACAAACAAAAUAAACUUAUCAAGUUAUGCUUAAAUUAUGAGUACUAUAAAAUGUCAGAAGAGAGUAUGGUGAGAGAGGGUGUAUCAUCGACUAACACAACAAAAUAAAUCAGCAUCCAUUGCAAAACACAAUAAAAACGAAUCCACCAAAAUAUUCGAAACAGAAUUCAACUAAAGACAAAUUAUGUAUGUACAGUUACAACAGUUACAUACAGAUCCAUACAAUUCAAUACAUAUAUAUAUAUUUAUUCUCAUAGUAUAUAUAUAUGUAUAUAUACAAUAUAACGCAGAAGUAACAUCAUAAAAGAAUUUAUAUAUUUUAAUAAAGAUCUAAGAAAAAACAAAACAGAAGUGAAUGUAAUUCAGAUCACUUUUGGGCGGCGGCAACUAAUAUUAACAAAUAUUGUAUAUGCGGCAAAAAAUAGUUUUAAUGAUAACUUUGCAAUUACGUAAGAUAAAUUAAAUAACCUGAUGGAACUUUCUUCCUUUAAAUCACUGCAAAUAGACUAUGGUAUGGAUGUGUGCGUAGUAUGUAUAUGCAUAUGUAUGUAUAUGUACCAUAAUAUUAGGUCAAGUAAAAAGUUCGUUCGGUUUUUAUCUAAGAGAUGGCGUUAUUGUCCAUAGUACUUUGUUUGUCUUUGACAGUUUUUCGAUUGAUUGACUCAGUACGUUGUGAGCGCUCGUCAAAGAUGGACACCAGCAAAGAGAAAAUUCCCUAUAUUCAAAGCGGCUGAAAAAAUUAAUUUAGUUUAUGGGCCCGAUACUGUAAACGAACGUGUAGCACAUAAGUGAUUUGCUAGGUUCCGUUCCGGUAAUUUCGAUGUCAAAGAUACACCACGCGUCGGGAGGCCUGUCGUCGAAAAUUGCGAUAAAAUCAUGGAAAUAGUGGAAACAGACCGUCACGUGAGCACUUAGUUACAGUAAUUGCUGAGGAACUAAAGAUAAGCCAGAAAACCGUUUGGAACCAUUUGCAUUGGCUCUCCGAGUUUUUUGCCAAUAGGGAUGCAGCCUUCUACGAGAGGGGCAUAUGAACUUGGCUUCUCGUUGGCAACAAGUUUACGAACAAAACGGCGCAUAUUUGACUUAAAUCGGAACGAACUUUUUUAGUUGACCUAAUAUAUGUAUUGUAUCUAACAUUAAAUAUGGAAUUUUUUUUCUAAAGUGCCCGUAACAGAAUUCGAACCGAUUUCAGGUGGGUUAAUACAGGAUUGACAAAUCGAAUGGGUUCACAGUGACGUUAACCGUCAUUUAUUAAUGCACAAUGCACUUACAUACUUUCCACUAUUGCAACGUGUGUAAAGGGUGGUCAAUUUGCUGACUUUGGAAGGAAAGUUGCUUGAAAAUAAGAAGAAAAUAUUAUUUUACUGUACUAAAUGUAAAACAAUUUUAAUACAAUGCGCGAGUAAAAGAUGUGUGUUUGUGUUGAGCGGGCAUACGAGUACUAACUGAAUUUAAAUAGUUAUUACCUGACUUGUUAAAUUGCUGACAUUGUAACGGUAAUGUUUAUUCAUAGAUCUAUAUGUAUGUACUCUAUCUUAUUCAUUCAGAAAAAAAAAAAA